AGGGAAGCAAAUUGUCUAAUAUGAAUGAGAGGAGGGUUUAAAUGCAUCAUUUCAAGGUGGUUAUCACUCAAGAACAAGGAGCUUGAUCAUUAUGCAAAAUUUAUCUAAGACUAGAAGCAAUUCAUGCAUACAUAGAUCCAUUCUCAUUAUUCUGCCCUUUUCUCAAGUGAUCCCAAGUUCUAUCCUCAUAUUACAUCACCCAACACCAAAAUUAACAAUAACACCCACUUACAUCACUCACCCAAUGAACAACUCUAUUUUUAUUUUGACUCAACCAACUAGGGACCUUCUUUUCACUUCUUAGCUCUAACUCUUUUUUCUUUU
rnacentral:lncRNA from 1 species